rnacentral:lncRNA from 1 species
UACUAAUCGAGAUGAGGCCUUUCAAGGUAGCAAGGCAAUUUUUCUAACGUACUGCUGAGAAAGGUAAAUAUGAUUAGUUCUAUGAUCACGAUGAUAGCAUAAUGAUUUUCCUUCAUUAUGACAAAAUAUUGUUUUUUAACUUUUAAGAAAUAUGAUUGACUGUCUUUUCAAACCGUUGGAAAAUUGGAAUUUUCAAAAUAUAUGACUUUCAAAUAAUUUUAUUGAAAGACAUAACAAAGAAAGGUCGUUACACAAAAUUGUAAAGCUAAUAUCAAUGAGUUACAUAAUAUAAUGCUAGAAAAGUUAGAGAUAAUACCAAGGGACAAAUUGGAAAUUCAAUAAAAACAUCCUUACAGUGGUCAUGGUGGCCAUUUAUUAAAAAACGACGAAAAGACAAUUAGAAAUAGCAAUACAAUGCACAUACAAGUUUAAGCUUUCUUGAAUUCGGAGGACUGCUUUGCUAUAUUAUAAUAUGUAUUAAACGUAAUUCUAAAACACACCCACGAAAUCACGGUCAUUUAGUGCGUGAUGGAAAGUAUGUAAACUGUUGAAGAAUGAAAACAAGAUUUUAAGAUUAAAGAAUUCUAGGGAAAGUAUCAAACGUAUUAGCCUGUGAGUGCCAUGGUGUCAUAGCUAAUUUUUUUUAGCCCCCCCUUUUCCCAAAGUCCGUUAUUGUUCAAUUUCGGGUUUUCUGCAUACCAUGAACAUACAUAUACUAAAAUAAAGUGUAUUUGCUAUUUACUACCAUUUCCAAGUUUACUUACUAACCACGGCAGUCACUGAUAUAUGAUAUAGAGACUAUCUAUAUAAUAUAUCAAUGACCGCCGUGGAUAAACUUGAAAUCAAGUUGAUAGCAAAUAGCAAAUACACUUUAUUUAUAGUAUAAGUAUGAUCAAUGAAACAGAAAAACGAGACAACAGUUCCAAAGUACUAAGACAAUUUUAAGACAACCCUGAACGGAACUCUUGUCUAUGACCUAAAAGUCUCGCUGAUGACGCUAACACUAUCCGGACGUUUUCCUCCCAAAAUAACCCAAACUGAAUAAUCAUAAGCAAAGAAGACAAAUGCGAUUAUGCUAGGUACCUUUAGGAUACAGAGUCAUAAUGGUAAAUUAAUUGUGUAAGGAAGAGAAGCGACACACAAAUUGAGGUCUUCUCGUUUAAUAUGUAGAUGUAUGCAUGUGGUUUUUGAUCUAGCAUUGGGAUUUUUGUAUUUUAAGAUAUUGAUUGAUAUACAGUAUAUUGGAUUUACUUGAAGAUCUUGAAGACUUGCGUUCUAAAUUCAUGCUUUAAAAAAUAAAUUUCACUUUACUUGUUGAAAACAUUUACAAAUAGACACGACUCUGGAGGUGUGCCUAGAUUGACGGAAGUUAUAAAAUGCAGAUAGUGAACAGUUUAAGAACAUUAGGUUUUUUUUAGAACAAAUUGUACAUAAUGCAGUUAAACAAAGCUUAUAAACACGCAUUAAUAAUUGAUAUUCUAAUAUUGAGUUUGAACUUUCAGUGAGCAAUAUAUGCAUAGUAAAACGUACGAGAAUUAUUGACAGUUGAUCGGAACUGUAAUACACAUACUUAGUUAAUUUUCCGGCAUUUGAUUCUUUACAAGAUGGCGUGUAUGUCGAUUGAAAAUAAUAGCUCUGCACCAUGAUGCUUAAUUUCAAACAACAUGUUUUGAGUCCCAUUAAAAUAUCUGAAGUACUCCAGAAGGGUAAGGUUAUCCUCCACCACGUGUGAAUCCUGUAGUGUACUCUCAAAAUAUAACAAACAGUCAUGUACAUUGCUUUGUUAUCUUGCAAUAGCGAUUUUGUAAAUGUCACAAGUUUGUUUAUUAUAUCACCAAAUAGAGAAACAAAAACAGCAUGAACCAAACUUGAGGUGCCCCAGAAAGAGGUGAAAAUGGUGCCUUAAUAAUACAUGUAAAGCGUACAAACCUGAAUGUAUGUCUAUGAUAGCUGUAUACGUAGAGUUGGUAAGAAAUAAAAAGAAAUAGGGUUAUUUUUAUGAUCUCACUAGACCUACAAUAUUUCUCAAAAUUUAAAAAUGUUAUACGAUAACAACGAACCCUCUUCCUUUUUUAUUUAAAAUAAAGUUAAGUACAAUUGUUUGUGCCGAAUGUAAGAAGUGCUAAGCAAUACACGUAGACAGACCAUGAAAUAAAACAAGAGCUUUGGUGUUUUACGAGUUAACAAUACUUCAGUGCUGUUAUUAUUGUUUCGUUUUCACUACAUAUUUCUCUUCCUGUGUUCAUUACUAAUCGAUAAGAGGCACUUUGAGGCAUUGAGGCGAUCUAUCGAACGUACUGCUCAUAAAGGACAAUUUGAUUAGUUAUAUACAUGUAGCAGUUUGAUAAUCUACCUUCACUAUGUGAAGAUUUGUUCCCAACUUAAACAAAAAUAUUUCAAUGCAAACCCUUGAGAAAAUCAGUUUUUUAUAUGAUAUUUUUAAACAUUUUUAUAGAUCGAAAAACAUCAGAAGGAUCAUAAAACGAGUUUCUAUUGAUAUCAUUGACAAAAAAUACAUAGAUUAACAUGAUUUCAAAAAAUGCAUUACCAAUGAAAGGUCGACCGGGAGAUUUGAUUAACAACAAUGUGUCAAAUUUGGUUAUUUUGAGAGUUUUUUAAAUUUCCCAACCCCAAAAAGACCAGGUAUAUAUAAAAAAUUAAAUUAUAAAUCAAAGUAUUGUUUAUUACUUAUACACGCAAGUAUAUAGUAUAUAUCCAAAUUAGCGUACAUCAAUUAUAAUGUAAACACACAGGUAAAAAAUUAAAUCUUUUGUAGACGCUUGUCCUGUCUCGGAAUGGGCGAUCAAGCUUUCAGCUUUAUGCUUAUAGUGUCAUAUACUGGGACAUAUACUAGUAUGGUAUAAACCCUGUCAUAUACUAGUAUGGUAUAAACCCUGUCAUAUACUAGUAUGGUAUAAACCCUGUCAUAUACUAGUAUGGUAUAACACUUGAUAUGAUAAUUUGUCAGCUAACAAAAUUUGUUGAACACAGGAAAAAUGAUGAUUCAUGGACUAGCGGAAACCUCUACUCAUGGAAACAUAUACAAAGCGGAUGUCAAAAUUAAAACUUAAACUUUGAACUGUUUUGUUAUUCUACAUCUUUAAAACGGAAAUUUAUGAUUUCAACUCAAC